CUGGCAGUAGUGACAAUGGAGGAUUUGGGGCUUAAAGGCUUGGUGGGGGUUGGAGAUUGGGGAUUUAGGUUUGAGGGUUUAGAAAAUAGGUAUUUUGGAGAUGAAAACUCGGGAGAAAGGUCUGUGCAGCAGAUAUAAUCUGUUAUGUUUUUUUUUUAAAAGACCUGGACCAAAACCACGUCGUUUUGGCCAGGUCUUUA
rnacentral:lncRNA from 1 species